AGGACAUGAGCCACAUUCAACUUCCACACAUCAUGGUCAUUACAGAAUUCCACAGAUUUGCGGAAGAUCUUUUCCACCAUUGGAUAAUUCUCAAGGUUCCAGUAGAUUUUGGCCUGGGCCAUCAACACAGGAAUAUACUUCUCCAGAGUGUCAUCAUAUUCAUUCACUGCCUUUUUGACAGCUUCGUCAUCUCUAUGGUGUCUUGCUUCCUGUACUUGUUUGGUGAGUCUCCGGAGCUGUUCAGUCAGCAUCCCUGCUAGCCCAUCAAGCUUAAUGAAAGCCUCUUCAGGGGCUGUCUGGCAGGUGAUCAAGGCAUCCAAGAAGUCAUAGAGAUAGGGUGUGAGGAACUUGUAAGUCAAAUGGGCAUUCUCGGCCAGGACAUCUGCUGCCAGGUCGAAAUACUCAUACUUACAGUAGAGCAGCAGCAGGUUGCCAAAGGUCUCCGGGGGAAAGGGGUUCUGUUGGAGCAAAAACUGUAGCUUUUCAAACCCUUCUGUAGGCCUGGCAUCCAUGUUCAUUAGCGCCUGGUUGUGCAGGGUCACGGGGUCUAACUCUUCUUCUGCCCUAGGUGGCAUGUCAGUGAGGGUUUCCUGGGCCACUUCAUAGUUUCUCAGUUGGUAUUCUAUGGCUGCUUUGAGGUUGAAGGCUUCCACCAGGGCAGUCUGGUGAAGGACUAAGGUGUUGCCAACACUUCGAACAUCGAUGCCCUCAGUGGUCAUGCCCACACCUAGCUCCGGGUGCUGGCGGAUGCCACGCUCAAUAAUGUCUGCGAUGUGCUUUAGAGCCGAGGCAUAGUGCCGGCUACUGUAAUAGGCCAAAGCCAGGUUGUAGGAAAGGUCAGGCCGGUAGCCCGAAGCCUGGAGGGCCGCAAAGAACUUGGAACACGCGGCCUCAUACUGUCCCUCCUUGUAGAGCAAACACCCCAGGUUGACCUGACCAUCGGGCUCGUUCUCGCCCCCACUGUCCUCUCCCCCUUCCCCGCCCAGUAGCUGCUCCACCAGGCUCUUGGCCCCGGGCAGGUCGCCCUCGCUGUACUUGAUCGCGGCUUGCAGACGGAGGACGCGGUUGUGGUAGGCGGGGUUGUCCAGGAGGAGGAAGGCGACCCGCGUGGCCUCUGGAUAAAGGCAGGCCUUGUACAGGGCCUGGGCCUGGUACAGGCGGUACUGCUCCUGUUCCGGGUGCAGCUGGCCCAGCUGCUCAUAGCACUCGGCCGCCAGCGUGAACUCCUGCAGGCGGUAGUAGCAGUAGCCCAGCAGCGACAGGCCGGCGCGGCU
rnacentral:lncRNA from 1 species